rnacentral:snRNA from 1 species
CAGCCGUGUGUUCAGCCCAAAGCGAAGUAUUCUUUCGCCUUUUACUAAAGAAUACCGUGUGCGGGACACAGAAGCGGCUUGUUCAUAUUUUUGGAAAGCCACUUAAUUGGGGCAC